rnacentral:tRNA from 1 species
AUAGGGGUAGUUAAAGAUAUAACAUUAGGGUUGCAUUCUAGAAUUGAGGCUAGCCUCUCCCUAUUC